CCGCAUAACAUUCCUUGGACUACGGUUCGAGGACUCAAAGCCCGCAAGGGCGCUGGAGGAGGAACCCGCGACCGAUUAGCUAGUUGGCGAGGUAAUGGCUCACCAAGGCAAUGAUCGGUAGCUGGUCUGAGAGGAUGGCCGGCCACACUGGAACUGAGAUACGGUCCAGACUCCUACGGGAGGCAGCAGUGGGGAAUCUUGCGCAAUGGGCGAAAGCCUGACGCAGCGACGCCGCGUGGGGGACGAAGCUUCUCGGAGUGUAAACCCCUUUCGAUCCGGACGAAUAUCCGCAAGGAUUGACGGUACGGGAUGAAGAAGCCCCGGCUAACUACGUGCCAGCAGCCGCGGUAAGACGUAGGGGGCCAGCGUUGCUCGGAAUAACUGGGCGUAAAGGGUCUGUAGGCGGUGUGGCAAGUCGGGAGUGAAAUCUCUGGGCUUAACCCAGAGGCUGCUU
rnacentral:rRNA from 1 species